AUUAAACUUUCCUUCGGGAAAGAUAUAAAGUGGCGCACGGGUGAGUAACACGUAAGUAAUCUACCCUCGAGUGGGGAAUAACGUCCGGAAACGGACGCUAAUACCGCAUAAUGCAGCGGCACCGCAAGGUGACAGUUGUUAAAGAUUUAUCGCUUGAGGAGGAGCUUGCGGCAGAUUAGCUAGUUGGUAAGGUAAUGGCUUACCAAGGCUACGAUCUGUAACCGGUCUAAGAGGACGGUCGGUCACACUGACACUGAAUAACGGGUCAGACUCCUACGGGAGGCAGCAGUCGGGAAUUUUGGGCAAUGGGCGAAAGCCUGACCCAGCAACGCCGCGUGAAGGAUGAAGUAUUUCGGUAUGUAAACUUCGAAAGAAUGGGAAGAAUAAAUGACGGUACCAUUUAUAAGGUCCGGCUAACUACGUGCCAGCAGCCGCGGUAAUACGUAGGGACCAAGCGUUGUUCGGAUUUACUGGGCGUAAAGGGCGCGUAGGCGGCGUGGUAAGUCACUUGUGAAAUCUCUGAGCUUAACUCAGAACGGCCAAGUGAUACUGCUGUGCUAGAGUGCAGAAGGGGCAAUCGGAAUUCUUGGUGUAGCGGUGAAAUGCGUAGAUAUCAAGAGGAACACCUGAGGUGAAGACGGGUUGCUGGGCUGACACUGACGCUGAGGCGCGAAAGCCAGGGGAGCAAACGGGAUUAGAUACCCCGGUAGUCCUGGCCCUAAACGAUGAAUACUUGGUGUCUGGAGUUAUUAGUGCUCCGGGUGCCGUCGCUAACGUUUUUAGUAUUCCGCCUGGGGAGUACGCUCGCAAGAGUGAAACUC
rnacentral:rRNA from 1 species